rnacentral:rRNA from 1 species
GACGAACGCUGGCGGCGUGCCUAAUACAUGCAAGUCGAGCGCAGGAAACUGACGGAACUCUUCGGAGGGAAGGCAGUGGAAUGAGCGGCGGACGGGUGAGUAACACGUAAGGAACCCGCCUCAAGGAUUGAGAUAACUCCGAGAAAUCGGAGCUAAUACCGGAUAGUUCAUCGGACCGCAUGGUCCGCUGAUGAAAGGCGCUUCGGCGUCACCUUGAGAUGGCCUUGCGGUGCAUUAGCUAGUUGGUGGGGUAACGGCCCACCAAGGCGACGAUGCAUAGCCGACCUGAGAGGGUGAUCGGCCACACUGGGACUGAGACACGGCCCAGACUCCUACGGGAGGCAGCAGUAGGGAAUCUUCCACAAUGGACGAAAGUCUGAUGGAGCAACGCCGCGUGAGUGAUGAAGGUUUUCGGAUCGUAAAACUCUGUUGUAAGGGAAGAACACGUACGAGAGGUAAUGCUCGUACCUUGACGGUACCUUACGAGAAAGCCACGGCUAACUACGUGCCAGCCGCCGCGGUAA